rnacentral:rRNA from 1 species
GACGAACGCUGGCGGCGUGCCUAAUACAUGCAAGUCGAGCGCAGGAAACUGACGGAACUCUUCGGAGGGAAGGCAGCGGAAUGAGCGGCGGACGGGUGAGUAACACGUAAGGAACCUGCCUCAAGGAUUGGGAUAACUCCGAGAAAUCGGAGCUGAUACCGGAUAGUUCAACGGACCGCAUGGUCCGCUGAUGAAAGGCGCUCCGGCGUCACCUUGAGAUGGCCUUGCGGUGCAUUAGCUAGUUGGUGGGGUAACGGCCCACCAAGGCGACGGUGCAUAGCCGACCUGAGAGGGUGAUCGGCCGCAUUGGGACUGAGACACGGCCCAGACUCCUACGGGAGGCAGCAGUAGGGAAUCUUCCACAAUGGACGAAAGUCUGAUGGAGCAACACCGCGUGAGUGAUGAAGGUUUUCGGAUCGUAAAACUCUGUUGUAAGGGAAGAACACGUACGAGAGGAAAUGCUCGUACCUUGACGGUACCUUACGAGAAAGCCACGGCUAACUACGUGCCAGCAGCCGCAGUAA